UGUCCUGGAAACGGCCCGGCGGAGGAGAGUGGGCUGCGCUGACAGGAUGCUGAACGCGGAUCGCCUCUCUCAGCCGGGGCUCGAGUAUCUGGCCCAAAGGCAUGUCAUUACUUAUAUGGAAGAUGCAGUGAGCCAGCUGCUAGAAAGCAGAGAAGAUAUUGGUCAAUAUGGUAUUGCCAGAUUCUUCACUGAAUAGGGUCCAUAAUUCAACACAGCAAAAUCGUGCAACCUUUGAUUUGAGAGAUCAAGGGGACACACCUGUAGACAAUUAUGCAUAAUACCCAUGAAGAAAAAUGGAAAAUAGCUGAAUGCACAUGACACACUGAACCAUACAGUGACCCAUCUCAUUUUUGCCUAGUG